UCCUCGGUAGUAUAGUGGUGAGUAUCCGCGUCUGUCACAUGGGAGACCCGGGUUCAAUUCUCGGCCGCGGAG
rnacentral:tRNA from 1 species